GGAAGCCCCAGUAAAAACCGUGCCUGAGGCAGGUGAUAGACGUAGGGGGCUGACGUUAGUCGGAUGGUCUGGGCGUAAAGGGUGCGUAGGCGGUCCUUAAAGUCACGGCGGACAGGCUUCGGCUCACUCAUAGUAUGCGCUUGAAACUGGGAGACUUGUGUGCAAGAUAGGAGAGUGGACUUCCUAGUGUCGCUGUGCAAUGCGUAGAUAUUAGGAGGAACACCAGUUGCUAAGGCGGAUCUCUGGACUGUAACUGACGCUGAGGUACGAAAGCGUGGGGAGCAAACAGGAUUAGGUGCCCUGGUAGUCCACGCUGUAAACGGUGACUACUAGGUAUCGGGGGUUACCCCCCUCGGUGCCGCUGCUAACGCAGUAAGUACUCCGCCUGGGAAGUACGCUCGCAAGGGUGAAUCUGAACGGAAUUGACGGGGACCCGCACCAGUAGCGGUGCAUGUGGUUU
rnacentral:rRNA from 1 species